rnacentral:rRNA from 1 species
GCACAAGCGGUGGAGCAUGUGGUUUAAUUCGACGCAACGCGCAGAACCUUACCAGCCCUUGACAUGUCCAGGACCGGUCGCAGAGAUGUGACCUUCUCUUCGGAGCCUGGAACACAGGUGCUGCAUGGCUGUCGUCAGCUCGUGUCGUGAGAUGUUGGGUUAAGUCCCGCAACGAGCGCAACCCCCGUCCUUAGUUGCUACCAUUUAGUUGAGCACUCUAAGGAGACUGCCGGUGAUAAGCCGCGAGGAAGGUGGGGAUGACGUCAAGUCCUCAUGGCCCUUACGGGCUGGGCUACACACGUGCUACAAUGGCGGUGACAAUGGGACGCUAAGGGGCAACCCUUCGCAAAUCUCAAAAAGCCGUCUCAGUUCGGAUUGGGCUCUGCAACUCGAGCCCAUGAAGUUGGAAUCGCUAGUAAUCGUGGAUCAGCACGCCACGGUGAAUACGUUCCCGGGC